rnacentral:tRNA from 1 species
UGGGCCUAUAGCUCAGUUGGUUAGAGCACCGGACUCAUAAUCCGUAGGUCGUAGGUUCGAGUCCUACUGGGCCCACCAA